GGGAGAGAGAGACUAAGCAGGGAAACAGCAGGCAGUCCCAUCUCUUGAAGUGGAAGGAUCAGAGGUCAGCUCCCGGCAUUCUUAGAGUGAUCCGUGCCCAAUCUCUCCGGACCAAGCUGAUGAAGCAGGCACCAAGUAACUGGGAGAUUCCUGGAAUUUCUACCACUAUCCCAUAAAAGGUAGCCUUACACAAGACUCUGAAUUGUCCCUCUUGAUGUUUAUGAGCUGUUGGAUGCUAUCCCACGAUAUCAAUUGUGGCCAGGACCAGGGAGACUUCAUACUACACAGCCCAUCCCUCAAAAUUCCAGCCAACUCUGUGCACAGACUUCCCUGUCAUUUUAUUAACCUUGCAAACACUUUGGCCUGUAUUUCACAUGACUGAAUUUUUUAUUUUUUUUUUUUAGAUGGCAAGCUUUGACUGCUUUAUCUCUUUUAAUCCUCAAGACAACUGUGUAAGGGAGUUACUUGUGUUAUUCCCAUUUUACAAACGAGAAAACACAGGCACAGAGAUAGUAAUUUGCUCCCAAGUCUACACAGCUAAUAAAUCGUGGAGUGACGUUUGAAUUAUCAGGCAAUCUGGCUCCGGUCCUUGAAAAGGGGUCCUCAGAUUUCUUUUCUUAGAUCCAGAACUCUCAGCUGAUACAGGCUUCAGUCCGUGUGAGCAAUGGACAAGCUGUCACUGCCCGUUAGAUUUUGGAUGAUGCCAGGAGACUCCUCUAUGUUGGGGGAAAGUUGGCAUGGGAAAAAGGGGCAUCUGAUUUCCUGAGGCCUGGAGCAACUCUGGCCCCAGCAGGUGCAUGCGGAGUUGCUGGAAACCCAGUGCUGAGCGACAGGAGGGAUGCGGAUGCCCACGGCCUUUGUGACAGGGUUUUCCUCCGCGCUGGUAAAUCCCCAAGUUCACAUGCGACGAUUCUUAACCAAGGCGACGAUGGCCAGGUAAGACGGACUUGCUCCAUUUUGUUAUUACACCUCAAACGCCAUGCACUCUUGGGGAAGGCGAUUUCAUAGAUAAUUUGGGGGCCGGGAUUUCUUGUUCUUCGUUAAUGCUGAAUAACUUGCAUUUCAGGAAUCUACAUUGAAAUGGAUGAAAACCACAGCUGAAUUUGGAAUAAACCUGGGUGGGAGCAGCAUGCUCUUUAAAAAAAAAAAAAAAAAAAAAAAAAAAAAAAUCAGGGUGGGGGAUGGGGGAGUGGUGAUAGGGAAGAAGAAUCAUUCUGUGGAAAAUCUAGCCACAAAUUGGAUUUUCUUUUUCUCCCCCCUGCCCCGCCCCGGUACUUUAAUUUGCUCCUGCCAGCCUUUUGUUAUUGGACUUAAAAAGGCAACUUUAAAUAGUGUGCAUGGAGCCUACAAGUUAAAUAUUUCCUUUCCUCUUAAUAGUAUCAGUCAUGAUGGCGGCUGCACUACGGUUAUUUCACUAGGAAAUUAAAUGAUUGCUAAUAAUUCAAGAUGAGUCCAUUUUCCGACAGCUCUUGUAUUAUUUCCAUUUUUUUUUUCUCUUUGCAGCUCUUCCAAAAAGUUUUGUCCCUAA